UUUUUUUUUUUUUUGCGGGGAAGAGUUAGAGGAGUGGUAAGAAGGGAUAAAAGUGAUUUAGGUGCAACUGCAAGAAAGAGCAUUGUCAAAAUCAUUCAAAUUGUGGCUUUCUCAGUCCAGUGGAUGGUCUAAGCAUGAAAAGUUAAACAGCUGUGACGCUACGGGUCACUCCCGUCAUUGGGUACAAUUUCAUACUAAUUCGAAAAGGAAAAUGAAGAUCGGAGAAAUAGACACGUAGAUUGGAAGGUCUUUAUUCCCGGAUUGCUGCAGCAAUUAAUAGCACCCAAUUGAAGGAUAAUGGAAAGAACCAGAACCAAAACCAAACAAAUUUUAUAGAUUCACACACCCAAUCAUCAUCGCCAUGUGUACGGGAACAUGCUUUCCCAAAUUAUACACGCAAUUAUAUAAUCUUCUUGAUUGAAAGUUUUAUGCGACACACUUUGCAUAGGCGUCGUCGACUGUGUGGCGUGGAUGACAAUUGAAUUGAGAUGCAACACGCAUGGAAUUUGCCAGGGCAGGAUAGGUUCGAGGGAAAUUUCUGCAUCCUUGUUUGGAUUGGAUUCUGAUUUUUCGUAGAAAAAUUUCCACGUUCAAUUGAACAGAAUAAAAGUCAAGUGGCACCCUGCUAGAGCGAGCUUCUAUCUGAGUGUAAUAAAUUUCCAUGUUUUGCCGGUUUGGUCAUUGCAUUUCAUCAAAAUAUAAAUGCAUUUGUUUAAAAUGUAAAUCAACUUGAAUACAAUAAUAAUGUAAAUGUAGUUCGAUUUUGUGAACCUCAAACGUAUCAUAUAAUUAACGUACAUCUUACAAUUUUUUCGACCAAUUCAAACCAUGAACCGUUUAGGCGACAGUAACAAGUCUCGGCCCUAUCCUGAAAGCCUACUUCCUGCGCCUUUCAACUAAAUGGAAAGGAAAUAUAUAUACAUUUUUUGGUAAUGAUUGCGCAUUGGGCCAAAACGUGCAACUUUUACUGUUGGAAGUAAGGGGCUACUUGAUUGAUGUAGAAUCCAGUCUUUCUUCCCAACCGAAUAUAGAAUUGAACACAGGUUUUCAUUGAAUUGGACAUCAUUUGGCAAUAAUUAGUCAUCUUCAACCAAUCGUAAGAAGGAAAGAAAUAAAAUUUGAUGCUUUGUUCUUUAUCGUAGUUUAAUCAAUGUACGUACGGUGCCAUACAGCUCGCCAUCACAAAAUUGUACUAAGUUGUUUUAGUGAUUGAUGUCUCGAGCUUUUCUUCUUUGUUGGUCUCCUCUCCUGAGAAUAUGAACCUCUGGGGUUCUAAACAGGGCCGCCAAAAUUCUACGGAUUGAGAAGAAAAUGAAAACCUUGAAAGCUGACCCAAAACUUUCUAGUAGUAUUAAUUUCUAGAUAUGGCCACCUCGGAUCACAGCAAAUUCAUUCACCGAUUACUUCCAUAUUAUGGCCAAUGGAUCUAGUGUUGAAAGUCCAUUCAAUUAGACAGUUCAAUUAGAAAUGCUGUAUAAUGAAUCCACACAAAAGGAAAGUUACAGAAAAUGAAUAUGGCGGCGAUGGGACAAUUUCCAGGAAACAGUCACAAAAGGUUCAUAUAAGUUGAAAAUCAUUUGCAACACGCAUUCAGACAGCAAAACAUACACACAUGGAAAUCAUUUGAACUGAGUUGCUGCUAUUGUUGUUUCUCCUAUCUCACAUGUUUCUCGUCGUCAUCAUCACUGCUAUUGUUGCUGCUCGCCUUGCCAAGCCCAGACAAUUUCUGUCAAAGCCGGUUUUAGAUUCUGUUGCAACACCUUCAGAUAAUCCAAUGCAUCUCCGCUUGACUUUCUAACCUCCACCAAGUGAAAGGACGAAGUGAUUUCGAAAAUUUCAACAUCGAUGGACACAGUCCCAUUUCUACAAUCGUUCGGUUGCUCCAAUUUCAUCACCCCUCCUUCCUUCUUCAUGACUUUCAGCUUUAGACGUCUAGCAAUUUCUUCAAUUUUGGAUAUGAGAGAGGGUGCGGACGUUUUUGAUAUAAAUUGCACUUCUUCCUUCUGAUCAUUCCUCACAAACAAACCAGACAAGUCGAAACCCGUUGAAAGGGAGAUUAUGUCAAAUGCAUUGAAGUUAGUUGGCUUUGGUACUUCUAGCUUUGUCUCGGUAGAAGGACCGCUGCAACACUCAUUAAGAUCAAAUGCAAUAUCAGCAUUUAAGGGAUUCUUUCCCUUGUCCUCUAUACUUGCUCUUAAAUCUCUCUGAUCCAGCCCUUUCCUGAACCAAGUGUUUUCCAUAAUUUUGGCUAUGGAAAUCCUAGUGUGUGGACUUGGGUCGAGGAUCCUUGAUAGCAGUCUGCGCACUUCUGGAGGAACCCAAUUUGGGCAUUUGUACUCAGCCUUGCUUAUCUUUCUAUACAUAUCCAUAAGAUUCGAUGCAUGGAAUGGAAGAUAACCAGCCAGUAGAACAAAUAAGAUUACACCGCAAGACCAGAUAUCAGCUUUGGCACCAUCAUAACCUUUCCUGCUAAUAACCUCAGGAGCAACAUAGGCGGGGGUUCCACAGGUUGUAUGAAGCAACCCGUCUUGCCGCCUAGAUUCAGCUAGAGCACUCAAACCAAAAUCUGACACCUUUAAAUUCCCAUUCUCAUCCAGCAGCAGAUUUUCUGGUUUUAGAUCACGGUGGUAGACACCCCUGCUAUGGCAAAAGUCAACAGCAGUGAUCAAUUGUUGAAAGUACUUUCUGGCAAUGUCUUCCUUGAGCUUUCCCUUGGCGACCUUGUUAAAAAGUUCACCACCUUUGGCAUACUCCAAAACGAAGUAAAUCUUGGUUUUGGUUGCCAUGACCUCAUAAAGCUGUAGCACAUUGGGGUGUUUAACCAGUGCCAUGACAGAUAUCUCUCGCUUGGUCUGAUUGAUCAGUCCAACCUUCAGAAUCUUCUCUUUAUCAAUUAUCUUAAUGGCUACACUCUGCCCGGUUGCAAGAUUUCUACCAUAGUAAACUUUUGCAAAGUUUCCUUGCCCUAGUAAUCUUCCAAGGUCAUACCUUUGCAUUAAUAUGUUUGUCUUAUUAUCCAUUCUAAUCAGAAAACUACUAUACACCUUCUAUUAUACUCUCCUGCUUGUACGAAUAUUUGGUUUUUACCGGGCAGGAGUAGUUUUAUUUGAGAAAUUCAACCGUCUCCCUCGUGCUUCAACACGAGAGCAAGGCAACAAGUGUUGCUUUUAUUCUGCAGCUGUCCGCAAAAAAUUGAUAUGCCAUGAUUCAUGCGCCCGACCUCAUCAAGAAUGAACAAAUCCACCCAAGAUGGAAAGGAAGGCACUUUGACAUCAGAGUGACAAGUGCUCGCAUUCAGCCACAUCUUUCUGCAUUCCCAAGUAAUUUUUGACCAAUGGUACCUGCCAAGGUUCUGAAGUAAACGGAUAGGUGUUUUCUAUCAGAAAUACCAAGCACAAUUUCACAAUGGUGAAAACAAUGGAAUAUAAUCUAAUUACAAUAACAACAGGAAAAAACAAAAAGUUUUGACCAGUGAAGAAGCGGAAACAAAAUGUUAAAAUUGCAUUUCGAUUUUCCAUGAAAACCAAACAAUGCUGAAGAAACCAUCUAAGACUCAGAAGGUAGCUUUUGUUACAUUAACUUUUUUCUUUACCCUUUAUAUUUCUGUACUUAUAGACCCGACCCCCCCCGCCCCACCAAAAAAAAACCAAAAAAAAAAAAAAAAAAAAAAGAGAAAACACGGAACAAGAAAGACAAAAUCUUGCAGAUCAUAAAUUUCGCAAGGCUCAUUUACGAAAUUAGAGCCCUCAUGGAAUUUGAACAUAACAGAGCACCCUCUUGUGGAAGAUUACCCUCUUGUGAUUCGAUCGUUUCAUUCAACAUUGCAAGAUUCAUCUCCAACUUGUAUUAUGAUCCUAUACGAUAAUUGAUGACCCAGAUCUUCCAACUUCAUAGCACAUAUAAUCACAAAAACAAAACAAAAGAAAUCACCAUAGCCUGAUGCCUUUACUAGAAAAGAAGAAACAGACAACGGAGGUAUAGUUUUGGCAAAGAAAACUAAGACCAUUACCAGAUGCAAAUAAUUAGUUCUAAUAUUCUCCAUCAACGGAGUCAUCAAGGAACAAAAAAACACGAGAUAUGAAAAUGGGAUCGAGCAAUUGCAAGAAAAUUACUAUCCCACCCAACAAACAAAUAUCGUUAAAAAGGAGGAAACAGAAAGAAGGAAACAAAAGAAUGGGAGGCAAGAUAUAAGAGAGUAAUACCUUGGGUUUGCACUCAGAUGAACUCGUCGGAAGAAAUGAACAAAGGCCGGCAGAGAAGUGAGGCGAGGGGAGAUGUAUUCGUACAGAACUUUUUAAUUCGGACACCAAUUAUUAUGAAUACUAGUAUUAUAGGUGUAUAAAUAAAAGAGGCAAUUUAACAAGAAGAAUAAAUUAAUUUAAGUAAUACGUAAGUAGUAGCACUUCCCUUUUAUUAGCGCGGGACCGAAUUUAAGGCAAGAUCCGGUGUCUGUCUGUCUUAUAGUUAUAGGUAUGACGUGAGGUUGUGUUGUGGCUUAGUAGCUUGCCUACCUGUAAACCCGUCAACUAGAAAAGUUGACACCUGUGUGGACGGGACGGGUGGGUAUCUCCUGUCAGGGGUAAUUUGGUGAUUUCGGUGCCAGAAGAAGAAUAGUUUAUGGAUUCCUUUUCUGAACCUUUUUGUAGUAGCUGUAGUUUGGCAUGGUGGACUGGACCCACCGACAACGAUUUGCUGAGGGUUUGGGGGACCACAAUCAAUUCAUAAAAUUAGUAGUAGUAGACUAGUAGUAGAACGGAAGAACGAAUGAAUUCUGUGGAGACUCGAAGAUCUCUGUCUGUCCAUUCUGAUCUUUCGAAUGGCUUGUAUGGGGCUGCAAAUGUCCAGCUAGAUUUGUUUCUAUUAUGUGGUAAUUUUAAAAGCUUAAAAUAUUUGACUCUCAUCCUUUUCCCCUCUGUUUCUGCUUUCUACUUGGGAUUUCUUUUAAUUACAAGUAAUGGGCAGAAAUAAUCGAUUUGGAGUCUUCUCAACCAAUAAAAAUUAGAUUGAACUUUUCCAUUUACGAUGCAUGAUGAUUAUUUCGAAUUUAACUUUAAAAGCCAAGUUACAAUCAAUCCGUUUGGAUUAGCUAUUUUUGAGAGUAUUUUUUGAAAAAUUUUACUGUAGCAGAGUUUUUAGUGUAUAUUUUGAGAUAUUUUUAGAAAAUAUUUUGAAAUAUUUAAAAGUAGUAGAGUUUUUAAAAUACUAUAUUUUAGGAUAUUUUUUAAACAUUAAAAAAAUUAGACUACUUUUUAGAGUAAUUUUUUUAUAAUAUUUGAAAAACUGAAGGAUCUAAACAGAGCAUUGUAUCACAAAAAACAUUUUAAGUAUCGAAGAACAUCUUUUAAGUAAUUUUUCAACUUCAGGUUGUUUUAUCUCAAAAAUAACAUGGAUGGCUCCAAGGAAGAGGAGUACACACAAUUCUUUACUAAUAAACAAGUAUUUAUUUUCCAUUAUGGGCCUCUAUGGAUGUAAGAUUUUAUUUGCGGGCAAGGCAAACACUUAGAUAGACUCAAGAUUUUAUUUGCGGGCACGGCAAAUACUUAGAUAGACUCGGUCAUGUGAUUCAAAUUUUGUCACACCUUCAAUUCUUAUAAGCCAUGUGGCCAAAAUUUUUAUUUUUUACAUCUUACAGCCUGUAGGACCUAUGCAGGUGACAGAGAUAGACUCUCAAAAGUUUUAGCGCAGAUAGGUUGUUUUACAUUCCACUCAAAAGUUUUACAUCCUUGAGCCGCAACUUGCCAAAAAAAUUGACUAGUGCUAUAACUUGGCUAGCAAUACAAGUCAGUUCAAAAUCAACUAUCUCUACACAGGAAUCUAGUAUCUAAGUCCUUUGGCAACUUCAAAGAAAUGAGCAACGUUCUCCUCCGGCGUUCCUACGAUUAUGCCGUGUCCAAGAUUCAAAAUAUGUUUACCUUUUCCAGC
rnacentral:lncRNA from 1 species